AAUUGACCUCGGAUCAGGUAGGGAUACCCGCUGAACUUAAGCAUAUCCAUAAACCGA
rnacentral:rRNA from 1 species